GUCAAAAUCAAAUAUAGAACAGCCUCUCCCUUGGAGCUUUCUCCACCUUCUGAAAUAAAAAAUUCUCCCUUCCCUUUGAGGAGACAGAUGAAUGAUAAAUACAGAUAGAUUUCAUGCAAGAAUCUAUCUUUGGAAACAUCUCAGAAUUCCACAGCCUGUUUCAAAAUAGCCAGGGAAGAACUCCAGGAUCUCCAUAAUAAUCUCAAUCUUGGGCAAAUCUAAAUGACAACAGUAAUAGAAAGGAUGUCUCCAUAUACACAUUUUUUGCUUGGCUGCCUAUGGGCCUGCUUGGGGACCCUGUUUCCAUUCAAGUACAUUUCUGUUCUUGUCUCUAUUUGCUGCAUUCUUUACACACAGGAUGAUGUAAUGCAGCAUCACCAAAUAAUACAGAGAACUGCGACAUCAGCCUCUCAAAUUGGUGACCUCCACCUAAGUCUUGUGCAUUCACAUUUGGUUCACUGUUGUUGAUUUUCAACUUCUUGAGCUCAGGCAGUUUAACUGCUCACAUACCAGGACCUUCGGGAAUCCUUGUAUGACACUACAGAGAGUGAAGAGAUGACAAGAGAUGGCAUGUGCUGAGCCUGAGGAAGGUUACCAGAGAAUAGAGUGGAGGUUGUGUCACUUUCUUACUGUACUCAUUGCAUUGACAGGACCUGCACUGAUCAUUGGAGGUCUGGUAAUAGUUUCGAGAAUUUAAUUAAAGCAGAAUCCUGAAGCAGUGGGGAACCCACCAUACCUAUAAAAGCAGCAAAGACCUUAUAGACUACCAGACGUAUUGGAGCAUGAGCUUUCGUGAGUGAUGCAUGCCAUACCUAUGCAGCCCAACUGCACCAUACAGUUAUGGAGGCAACUUCAGCAGAUGUGGAGGGGGAAACUCCUCCCUAAUGGGUGGCCAAUUAAUUCAUCCGCACCCCUACCCAGAGGCAGAAUGAUUCCUGCACCCUGCUGGUAGUGGUGGAAGUAGGAUAUCAGCAAGGCAAUGCAUAUUUAUAGCGCCAUGAUGUGUGUGAUAAUGUGUUGGUUUCUUCCCACUGCCUCCAAAGGAACUUUAAAAGGAAUGUUCUCCCCAAUGCAGGUCUUUCAGCUGACUGCACUGAAAGGGAGCUGGCAACCAGAAGAGGUGAAGAGGUGGAGAAGUAGAAGGAUAUUACAAAACAAAAGAAAAAGAAAAAUAUUUUACAAUAUAGGGAUCUUGGUCCCAUCCUCCAUACCACAGCAGGUAGCUGUGCAAUACUGCAGCCUAAGUAAUGGAGAGGGGCCAGGAUAUUUGGGAGCUCAUUAGAGAGGCAAAAAGUCGAUUUAUGUGAGCUCCUCUUCCCUUCCCAAACAAUUCCCCUACUUGCACCUGUGAAGAAGGGGUGAGAUGUUCCUGCACUAAGGCAACUGUUGUGGGAUAAAUCCCAGUUAUAUGGCAGUGAGGGAUUACCCCAUCCAUGCCCCAAGGAUCUGGUCCAACAGGAAUAGCUGGCAUCCUUUUACAAGCCUAUUUUUAGUGGUUAUGCAGAGUAUGUCUGCACUGCAAAUGAAAAAUGUGAUUGUAGCACAUGUAAGCAUACCUGUGGUAACUUUAAUAUAGCUAAUACGAAUAACAGUGAAGUGUAGACAUGUUGGCAUGGCUUUCCGCAUGGGCUAGCAACAACAGUACAUACCCAGAGUCCCUGAAGAGCUUGUACUUGGGUUUCUGGCACAGGCUUCAGCAUGGUCUAGCAACCCAAGUAUUUUGUCAUUUAUACUUCCUGAAAUUUCAGUUACUUAUUCAUUAAGAAGCAAUUAUACUAUGUAGGUUUGGGGUCUUGCUUGGGUCUAUAUUGCUACAAAACUUUUCUUUGUUUCAUUCUAUAUAUCCUUUAUUUUGGUGAAAUUUCUAAAAAUGUAAACUUACGUUGAUUUUUUUUAAUUAGCCUUUGAAUAAAGAAUUGAGAGCCUUGAACAAGAAACCAACUUCAGCUUUGAGUUAGGGGGGAGGAUAACUGAUUCCAAAGGUGAAAGUAACUUAAGAGACUUACUGGUACACAGGGUGGCCAGGGUCCUGAACAAGGUGUGGGGGCAGCUCAAUCAGAAAUGAUGGGGAUGGGGCCAGACUACCCCAGCCAGCCCUUCAGCACAGCCCAGCGGUGAUUUAAAGGGCCUGGGGCUCCCAACCACAACCAGCGCUGGCCCAAAGCUCCGGCACUGAUUUAAAGGGUAGCAGUUGCUGGGAGCCCCAGGCCCUUUAAAUCACCGCUGGAGCCCCAUGGUAGCAGUAGCAGCGGCUGGGAGCCCCAGGGCAGCGAUUUAAAGGGCUAGGGGCUAUGGCUGCUCCUGGGUGCCCCAUGCCCUUUUAAAUUGCUGUGCCCCGGGGAAGCUGCCCCCUGCCAGUACAGAUGGCUGUGUACCAGCUCUUACCGGUACGCCAUACCAGAUCGGACCGGCUUACUUUCACCUCUGACUGAUUCUGAGAUAACAGGAAAAUGCCCCUAAAACUAGUAUUUCCUGAAGAGAUGCAGCAAUUUAUCAUUCAGGGCUAGUUGACACUAGAAGCACGGCACUACAGUGGAACAGCUGCACCAAUGCCGUUGCACCGCUGUAGUGUGGCUGGUGAAGAUGCUCUAUGACAAUGGAAGAGAGCAUUUCCAUUGGCAUAAUCACUCCAUCUCUGUGAGAAGAAGUAGCUAUGUCAGUGAAAGAAGCUCUCCUGCUGACAUAGCACUGUCCACACUGGCACUUAGGCCGGUGUAACUUUCGUCACUAUGGGGUGUGAAUUAUUCACGCCCCGGCGCAACAGAUGUUAUACUGAAGUAAGCUGUAGCAUAGACCAAGCCUCCCUAAUGAUUCUUUCUUUCUAUAGUGAUGUGAGCCAAUAUGGUGCUAUGCACUGGCAUGGAGGGUAAGUCUUAGUCAAAAAACCUGAAUCUACUAGAAGGGAAGUAGACAGAUUCUUUCUUUGGUUGUUGUUUUUUUUGUUUGUUUAUCUGAACUGAGUGUUUCCAUCUUGAACAGUCAACCCAGCAACAGACCAGCAUGAGUGUGUUGAUAUUGCAAUCCUUCAUGUGCUCUUGCCUAUUUAAAAAGAGUACCAGCCUAGAGGUAUACAGCUUAAGUGGCAAUAGCUUGUCCCAGACUCCAGUCCAACCAACUUAUUUUUUUUAUUUAUAUAUAAUGAGCUGUGCUAAAAUUAGUUAAAGAACCCUGGGACUCAUUUAUAUGAGCUGUACUCUUUGAAUAAGGUCAAUUUUGCAUUUAAAGACUGAUCUUGUAUUUACAUAGUGCCGUUCAUAUAAAUAAGUCCCCAGGUGUUUUUAACUAAUUUAAGAACAGCUGAUUGUACAAAUUACCGAUAGAGGCAAAUAAGGUGACCAGACAGCAAUUGUGGAAAAAUUGGCAGGGGGGCAGAGGUUAAUAGGAGUCUAUAAAAGAAAAAGACCCAAAAAUCAGGACUGUCCCUAUGAAACCAGACAUUUGGUCACCCUAGAGGGAAAUCACUUUGCUCACCAUGUAGCCAACUGUGUGGUUAACCACAACUGACUAAUAGCACACAGCAACCUACACAACUCUAGGGUAUAGAACAGGACGCACAGCAGCAGCUACCUCCUUGAAAAUACAAGGGGAAUAUAGGCUGGUAGUGGCUUGAGAGCUAAUUAGGUUAGACCUACCGCUCAAACUCUUGUCAUGAGAGCAUAACAAUAAUUAAUAAACAGUGUAAAGAAGCACCCUGGUACCAGUCAGAGUGGGGAUUGUCACUGACUCACUAGCGCCACCUCCCCACCGGGCUCAGCCUGCAGUUGUGACAUUUUAAACGAAUGGCCCUUUGUGAGUUAAAUUAAACGUCCGGUUUAAACAAACAGCCAGGCGCAGGGUAACCCUUGAGCCCCAGGAAGAGGCUAGAUCGGAUUGGCAAACAGAGGCGGGGGAGCUCUGGGGAGGCCGGGCCCAGCCAGGGAAUCGGAACAGGAUGUAUGCACACCCUGGCAAUGCUGGUGGAAUGGGAGCUGCCAUGGACUUUAUAGCAAAUCUGGAUUUUGCAAUUGGAAAAAUCCAUUUGUGACACUUAGGGUCUAGACACUCCAAAGGGAGAUCUGAGGGUCUGAUUCCCAAAGAAUGUGCAAUUGAAUUAACUAGUUGUAUACAAUAUUGCUGUUAAAACUUGUCAAGCAAAGUCUCUUAUGAAAAUUUGUAACAUGCUGAA